rnacentral:rRNA from 1 species
AUUGAACGCUGGCGGCAUGCUUUACACGUGCAAGUCGAACGGUAACAGGUUAAGCUGACGAGUGGCGAACGGGUGAGUAAUGCAUCGGAACGUGCCCGAUCGUGGGGGAUAACGCAGCGAAAGCUGCGCUAAUACCGCAUCCGAUCUGAGGAUGAAAGCGGGGGACCGUAAGGCCUCGCGCGAUCGGAGCGGCCGAGGUCAGAUUGGCGCGUUGGUGGGGUAAAGGCUCACAAAGCCAACGAUCUGUAGCUGGUCCGAGAGAACGACCAGCCACACGGGGACUGAGACACGGCCCAGACUCCUACGGGAGGCAGCAGUGGGGAAUAUUUGACAAUGGGCGAAAGCCUGAUCCAGCAAUGCCGCGUGCAGGAAGAAGGCCUUCGGGUUGUAAACUGCUUUUGUACGGAGCGAAAAGGCCCUCUCUAAUACAGGGGGUUUAUGACGGUACCGUAAGAAUAAGCACCGGCUAACUACGUGCCAGCAGCCGCGGUAA